rnacentral:rRNA from 1 species
CCUACGGGAGGCAGCAGUAGGGAAUCUUCGGCAAUGGGGGCAACCCUGACCGAGCACGCCGCGUGAGUGAAGAAGGUUUUCGGAUCGUAAAGCUCUGUUGUAAGUCAAGAACGGGUGUGAGAGUGGAAAGUUCACACUGUGACGGUAGCUUACCAGAAAGGGACGGCUAACUACGUGCCAGCAGCCGCGGUAAUACGUAGGUCCCGAGCGUUGUCCGGAUUUAUUGGGCGUAAAGCGAGCGCAGGCGGUUUGAUAAGUCUGAAGUUAAAGGCUGUGGCUCAACCAUAGUUCGCUUUGGAAACUGUCAAACUUGAGUGCAGAAGGGGAGAGUGGAAUUCCAUGUGUAGCGGUGAAAUGCGUAGAUAUAUGGAGGAACACCGGUGGCGAAAGCGGCUCUCUGGUCUGUAACUGACGCUGAGGCUCGAAAGCGUGGGGAGCGAACAGGAUUAGAUACCCUGGUAGUC